ACCAGAAUUCUAAAGGGAAUCCUUGCUUCUUGCUUCUUAAUUUUUUUUGUUGACCCAAUAUGCUUACAGCUUUCAGAAUCAAAACCUUCAGUUUUAUUUUAUGGUAGGUUGUAAAUGGUAUGCAUCUAAGGAGCCACACUUGCAUUAAAAAUAGGGCUAUCACUCUGCCGUGAACUCAGAAAGGAGAAAUUGCUCCAAGCUGCAGGAAAGAGGUUCAUCUUGCACAUCUGAGAGUCAGAAGCAGUGGAGAAUUGAGCAGUGGAGAAUUGAGGGGAGGGCCAUUGUAGCAUAUGCUCAUGAAUAAUGAAUCUGACAUUAUACGUAUGCAAAUGGAACACAGUAAGCUCUAAGCUAAAACUUGGUUUCAUCAUUUAUUCACAGCCUCUUGUGUUCAGCACCUGGAUUGUGCUCAGGAUGGCAAGAGAACAAAGCAAUCUGCUUGCUGUACUUGGGAUAGAGAAGACCUGCACGAGAAAGCCAGAUAUUCAAGAUGGUGUGAUUUCUAUCACAAGCUCUGAAGGUAUUGAAGAAGAAAUGCAGAAAAAGAGAGUUUGUACAUGAGUGAUUUUAAUUGACUAACAAAGUUAAAUACUGCACUGGAAAGGCCUACUGACAACCUGCUAAUAGCAAAAAGAUAACACAAAUCUAAAAAUUGCUGUCUUUUUAUUGGACAAAGUAAAAUAAAAUUUUAUAACACAUCUUGAUGUUCCAUGUGACUCUAUAGAAGAAUGCUUAAAGGUCAAGCCUUCAGAAACCAAAAGUUCAUGUAAGUCUUUUCAUCUUAACUAGAGUGGUAACAUCACUUUUCUCUUUGAUCUUUUUAUUUAAAUGUGAAUUUCCAUUCAACACAAGAUUUUAACUGAGCAAUUUGUGGAAGGGUUUUUGGGUUUAAUUAUUAGUUAACAGAGUUUCCACCAGCGGUAAAUAUUUGUACCAUACUGAAUGUGUUGAACUAAGGCUUAUUGUUAAAGAGAGGAAAUAAUUAAAUUGCCAAAAACAUUACUCAGUUUGUUCCACCUGCAAAGGGCACUGAUUUACUUAAUCUCACUCUGUCAGUUUUAAAAGCAUGAUUAUAAUUGCAAAUGCUAAAGUAUCAGUUGUCCAAAUGACAAGAUUGUUGUUAAAGAUGAAAGGAGAAAAAAAAAGAUGACAUUUAGAAAAAAUAAAUCUAUUUAUUGUUCUACCUCAUUUUGCUUUUUUCAGAGGUGCUGGGAAAUUUUGUACAGAUCAAAGGAAAUGAGAAAUACAUAAAUUUGCUGAAAAUAUCAGAGUAAAAAGUCUCAAAGAGAGAAAAAAGAAGGAAAGGUUGUAAAUUAAAGAAAUAAGAGAAAGAAAGAAUUUAAUUAAACCCCAAAUACCAGUUAAAAGGAGUAAGAGAAAAGCAAGUAACCCAUAGAGAUCUCUAUUCAAUGGGAGCCACAAGAAAGCUUUGCUAAGGUCAACCUUAUCAGCAAGACGCAAGUUUAGCUCUUGGUUCUUAGGAAAUGUAUAUAUACUCUCUGCCAUUUUGAGGGACUGGGGUUGGUUUCUUAUGUAAAGUAUUGGUACACACACCACUUGUGGGAUGCUAGGUAAGUCACUGAGAAGCAUAUCAAACAUGUACUUGGGCUGUCACAUCUGUUAGAUUUCUCAGUCAUGUUUCCACCAUGCACCACAAAAGAAAUCUCCUUGCUUGUGAUAACUAUUUUGUUGGAGGGAAGGGUAAAUACUACUGUAUGUCACAUAGGUUCUUGGUCAAGUCAAGAGAAUUUUUGAACUUUCUUUGAUUUCAAAGGCGAGACCACCUUCUGCUCUAGACCAAUUUACAGUAGAAGAUUAGCAUUUCAGUGACAACUGGAAAUAUUAAAGGAAAGCAGGUCUGUUCCAUUUUGUUGCCAAUUGAGACAGAACAGUCAAAAUGUUGACAAAUGUAAUAUGCAUAUAGAAGUUACUAUGAGAAUUAAGUGACUUAAUGCAUAUAAAGACAUUAGUUUUAUGUCUGGCAAAUAGUAAGCACUUGCUAUUAUUGUUCAAGUAUACAAUUAGUUACAUGUAUUUGUGUGGAUCAGAGAACCCAACCAUACAUAACAAAGGGUUCUCAAUGUACAAUUUUAGGGCUGGGUGCAGUGGCUUAUGCCUGUAAUCACAGCACUUUGGGAGGCUGAGGCGGACAGAUCACUUGUGGUCAGGAGUUCGAGACUAGCCUGGACAGCAUGGUGAAACCCUGUCUCUACUAAAAACACAGAAAUUAGCCGGGAGUUGUGGCAUGCGCCGGCAAUCCCAGCUACUUGGGAGGCUGAGGCAGGAGAAUUGCUUGAACCUGGGAGGUGGAGGUUGCAGUGAGCCGAGAUCAGGCCACCGUACUCCUGCCUGGGAAACAGAUUGAGACUCUGUCUCAAAAAACCAAAAACCAAAAAACAAAAAACAAAACCCCAAAAUUAGCCAGUUGUGGUGGCGGGCACCAGUAGUCCCAGCUACUCAAGAGCCUAAGACAGGAUAAUUGCUUGAACCUGGGAGGCGGAGGUUGCUGGUGACCUGAGAUGGUGCCACUGCACCUGAGCCUGGGAGAAAGAGUGAGACUCCGUCUUAAAAAAAAAAAAAAAAAUCACAUAACAAGGUUAUAACUGGAACCACUGAAUCAGCUUUGAGGUAUUAUUUUUCAAAAUUGCUGGAAAAAAGCCUUCAGCGUAGCAUUGGUGUUGUUUCUGAGAGACCGCAGCCUUUAGCAGAAAAAGCCCUAUCUCUGGUAUCAGACAGAUGUGAGUUAACAUCUCAGUUCUGCCACUUAAUAGUUGGGUGACCUUCAUCAAGUUGCUUUGACUCAUCUUCAGUUUUUCAAUCUAUGAAAUGCAGCUUGUGAUGAGCAGGAAACUGGCAUGCUUUGCGUGAUUCUAGGCACACAUAAGGUGCUUGACAUAUGUGCAUAUCCUCAGGUUCUCAUUCUCUUAAUAUGAUCUAUCACUUAAGAGUAUUUAGGUUUGUGCAGGAAAAAAAUUGCUUAUCAACUUACAUAGCAAUGCAGAUUAGUCUUAUGCUAAGGAGGUAUUUCAUGUUCCAAAUAUAAUUUAGUUUCUUUCAUAUCCGUGUUGUCAUUUUCUUUUUGAUCUUAGACUUAGCUAAGUGUAUGAUACUUUAGAAUUCCUUAAAAUCAGUCUUUGUUUAACAGCAAUAUAUUUUUAGCUUUGUCAAAUAUUCUUGGCUUUCAAAGUAGAAUUCUCUUUCAUGGAUAAUAAAAUAAUCAAAUCUGAGAUCAAUAAAACAUUUUCCCCCAAUUUGGAUAAAACAAAGUUGAAAAAAAGACUCCUAUUAUUUUAUUUUAAUAAGGG
ensembl:lncRNA